rnacentral:rRNA from 1 species
CCUACGGGUGGCAGCAGUGGGGAAUAUUGGGCAAUGGGCGCAAGCCUGACCCAGCAACGCCGCGUGAAGGAUGAAGGCUUUCGGGUUGUAAACUUCUUUUAAGAGGGAAGAGCAGAACACGGUACCUCUUGAAUAAGCCACGGCUAACUACGUGCCAGCCGCCGCGGUAACAGGGAGGUGGAAAGUGUGGUGCGGUUUUACUGGGUGUAAAGGGCGUGCAGCCGGGAAGAAAAGUCAGAUGUGAAAUCCUGUGGCUCAACCGCGGAACUGCAUUUGAAACUGUUUUUCUUGAGUACCGGAGAGGUCAGCGGAAUUCCUGGUGUAGCGGUGAAAUGCGUAGAUAUAAGGAAGAACACCAGUGGCGAAGGCGAAUGACUGGACGGCAACUGACGGUGAGGCGCGAAAGCGUGGGGAGCAAACAGGAUUAGAUACCCUUGUAGUC